CGAACGUAAGAAGAUUGCACGUUUCUAAAGCAAUUUUAUGCUUAAUGGCGUGUAUAGCGGUCAACUGCGAGAAGCCCAACAAUCCUGUGGACGGAACAUGUUCAGGAUUUUACCAUCAGUUUAAAGAGGUUGCGCGAUGUACAUGCAACCCGGAAUACUGCAUAGACCAUAUUAAGAUAACUUGUAACGCAAAAGCUUAAUGGUUUCCAUCAAUCCCAACCUGCUCAAGAAUAUAUUGUCCUCAACUGAAGUAUAAUGCAACUCGAAUGUGUUUAGCAAAAAAGGAAAUGGACAAGCAAAAGAUUGCCUUAAAGGCAAGUUUUGUUACGGAGAUACUGUUACCUUUGAUCCUCGCCCUGGUUAUUCCUCGACCGAAGCGUUCAACUCGUAUGUGAGCAAUACAAAUCAAACCCUCGUCAAUGCGCAGGCUUUUGGCAUCCCAAUGGUCGACUACCACAACCUCUUGGUAUUCACACGUGUCUUUCCUUGAUAAAUAACAGACUGUAUAGUAUUUGUAAAUAGAAAUGAUUUGACCUCCUCCUCUUAUAAAGAUCAAUAACGGACUUGUCCAUUGUAGUGAUUCUACCGUCGGAUCCACAAUCAGCUUCAGCUGCUCAGCAGACUGUGAGCUACAGGAUGGUAGUGAUACAAGAAUAUGUUUGUCGUCGGGCAGUGGAAUGGAAUGCAACCAAUAUGUACGUUUGCGCCAAAUACGAAACUUACUCUCCUAGCGCUUCGUUUCUCUCCAAAUCCUGAUUGCAUUUGCACCAAAUCCAACAUACACGUUUUCUGCAGCAAACGCUACACGUGGCGUGUGUCGAUUUCUAUCGAAACAAGCGCGAAGAGCAAUAUUCGAAUUUUUUCAAAGCAUCCGGGACUUCGCAACAAAGAUUGCACGUGACGUGUCCUGGUCUCCAAAGACCUAUCUGUAAGCUACAGUAUCUUGCCCGUACGAAGGACGGGCCAUGUAUACUAGUUAUUACUAAUUGUUCAGUUACGCGUCCUUUUUGAGCACAC